rnacentral:lncRNA from 1 species
GGGACUAACCAUGUUUGUCUUCUUGUGAGUGGGUUGUGAUAAAUGUUUGCAUGGAUCUACGAUGAUUUUUAUUGUUAUUUGACCUAUGUUUAUGGUUGGUUAUUAUUGCCUAUUGUUGUGUGAUAUGCAUGGAUUUGUUGUGUGGUUGUGUGAGUAUGAUGAUGUUUAAUUCUAGUAGGAUUGGGUUUAUGUCUAUGGUGCUCGGUGAAGCUCUUGGAAGAGUUAUGGGAGUAACACUGGUACUUGUUCGGUGAAGCUCUCUAGGAAUAUAGUGGUGGGGAGUGAUUAUUGACCCAAUGAAGUUCUCUAAGAAUAAAGUGGUGAAGGGUGUAUACUUGUCCAGUAAAGCUUUAAGAGAGUAGUGGGAAGUGUAAACUUGUUUGGUGAAGCUCUAAGAGAGUGGUGGGAAGUGGUGGGAAAUGUCAAUGUGUAAUGGUGUGGUAAAGUGUACUGGCCCGAUGAAACUCUUUAAGAGAGUAGUGGGAGGUGACACUUGACCUUAUGGGUGCAUCGAGUAAUCUGGUAGUGAUUCAAUAUAUAUAGUGAAUGGUGUAAGAACAAUUGGGUACAAGCUUAUGAUUAACUGAGUGAGUUUGGGUGUGACUUGGUUACUUUGAGGAAAUAGUUGUAGGAUUAUAUGCUAAUGACUUUGAUUGUUGGUAUUGUGGUUGUUAAUGAUUUAUUUUGAGGUGAUGUAUGUGAUAUCAUGUAAAGAUAUGUGUAGGUGUAUGAAGAUAUGUAUAUUUCGAAAGUCUUAUUCUAAGUAGAUGUUAAUAAAUAUGUAUUUUUCUAUGACUUGUUUCUGUUAGUUCACCUUUGCACAUUGUGAUU